CGGGUGAGUAACACGUGGAUAAUCUGCCCUGCACAGGGGGACAACAGCUAGAAAUGGCUGCUAAUACCGCAUAAGCCUACAGCCUCGCAUGAGGGAGUAGGAAAAGAAAUUCGGUGCAGGAUGAGUCCGCGUCCGAUUAGCUAGUUGGAGGGGUAAGAGCCCACCAAGGCAACGAUCAGUAGCCGGCCUGAGAGGGCGACCGGCCACAUUGGGACUGAGACACGGCCCAAACUCCUACGGAAGGCAGCAG
rnacentral:rRNA from 1 species